AAUCCUUUAACAAGGACCUAUUGGAGGGCAAGUCUGGUGCCAGCAGCCGCGGUAACUCCAGCUCCAAUAGCGUAUAUUAAAGUUGUUGCGGUUAAAACGUUCGUAGUUGAACUUGUGCUUCAUACGGGUAGUAUAACUAUAAUUGUAGUCUGUACUAUACCUUAUGUAUGUAAGCGUAUUACCGGUGGAGUUCUUAUAUAUAUUAAAUACUUGUAUUUAUAUGUAUUCCUCCUAUUUAAACCUGCUUCAGUGCUCUUCAUUGCGUGCUGUUGUAGGCCGGUACAAUUACUUUGAACAAAUUAGAGUGCUUAAAGCAGGCUCCAAAUGCCUGAAUAUUUUGUGCAUGGAAUAAUGAAAUAAGACCUCUUUCUACUUUCAUUGGUUUUUAGAUCAAGAGGUAAUGAUUAAUAGAAGCAGUUUGGGGGCAUUAGUAUUACGACGCGAGAGGUGAAAUUCUUGGACCGUCGUAAGACUAACUUAAGCGAAAGCAUUUGCCAAAGAUGUUUUCAUUAAUCAAGAACGAAAGUUAGAGGUUCGAAGGCGAUCAGAUACCGCCCUAGUUCUAACCAUAAACGAUGCCAGCUAGCAAUUGGGUGUAGCUACUAUUAUGGCUCUCUCAGUCGCUUCCCGGGAAACCAAAGCUUUUGGGCUCCGGGGGAAGUAUGGUUGCAAAGCUGAAACUUAAAGGAAUUGACGGAAGGGCACCACCAGGAGUGGAGCCUGCGGCUUAAUUUGACCCAACACGGGAAAACUUACCAGGUCCGAACAUAAGCGUGUAAGACAGAUUGAUAGCUCUUUCUCGAAUCUAUGGGUGGUGGUGCAUGGCCGUUCUUAGUUCGUGGAGUGAUUUGUCUGGUUAAUUUCGAUAACGAACGAGACUCAAAUAUAUUAAAUAGAUGCUUUCAGGAUUAUGGUGUUUGAAGCUUUUAUAGCCUUCAUUCAUGAAUGCAGUAACAUGUGUGAGUGUUUGAAUGUGUUUAUAAAGGUGGAGCCGUACCUGUUGGUUUGUCCCAUUAUAAGGACACUAGCUUCUUAAAUGGACAAAUUGCGUCUAGCAAUAAUGAGAUUGAGCAAUAACAGGUCUGUGAUGCCCUUAGAUGUCCUGGGCUGCACGCGCGCUACAAUGAAAGUAUCAACGUGUAUUUCCUAGACCGAGAGGUCCGGGUAAACCGCUGAACCACUUUCAUGCUUGGGAUUGCGAACUAAAACUGUUCACAUGAACUUGGAAUUCCCAGUAAGUGUGAGUCAUUAACUCGCAUUGAUUACGUCCCUGCCCUUUGUACACACCGCCCGUCGCUACCACCGAUUGAAUUAUUUAGUGAGGUCUCCGGACGUGAUCACUGUAACGCCUUGCGUGUUACGGAUGUUUCGCAAAAGUUGACCGGACUUGAUUAUUUAGAGGAAGUAAAAGUC
rnacentral:rRNA from 1 species